UACGGAGGGUGCAAGCGUUAUCCGGAUUUACUGGGUUUAAAGGGUGUGUAGGCGGGCUAUUAAGUCAGUGGUGAAAUCCCCGGGCUCAACCUGGGAACUGCCAUUGAUACUAUUAGUCUUGAAUUCUGUUGAGGUGGGCGGAAUACAUCAUGUAGCGGUGAAAUGCAUAGAUAUGAUGUGGAACACCAAUUGCGAAGGCAGCUCACUAAACAGCGAUUGACGCUGAGGCACGAAAGCGUGGGGAUCAAAC
rnacentral:rRNA from 1 species